UUGCUACUCCCACCGUUCGGAAAUACUUGUCGGAGAAAUGGAUGUAUCUAGACAUAAUUUAGUUCUAGAUACAUCCAUUUCUAACCAUUUUCAUGACAAGUAACUCCCAAUGGAAGGAGUAUAUU
rfam:Triticum aestivum genome assembly, contig: Triticum_aestivum_CS42_TGACv1_scaffold_130478_2BL